rnacentral:misc_RNA from 1 species
GGUAAUGGUAUCAGCAACGUCUUUAAAGCAAACAUUUGAAGGUCGGUGGCCAACCCAUUCAUCCUUUUGAUGUCAGCCACCUCAACGCCAUACUUGAUGGCCACACCAGCCAGAGUGUCCUUCUUGGAGACCUGAUGCUGUAUGAAAUUCUUACUAUUAUUAGCAAUUCCUCCUCCUCCUGAUGAACUGCCAUUUGAAGGGGACAUAUCUGCCUCUCUUAUUCAGGCAAAUCAGUUUAAACUGCUUCCUUGUUCUUGAAACCGUAGAGAGAGAGAGAGAGAGAGGGUAACUGGGUAUGAAGUCGAGCAGAUCGGCAGAUAAGAAGAUUUCAAACAGUGGAAUUACAACUGAGAUCACGAAAUUUAACAAAUAAUUAUAUAUAUUUUAGCACAAAGAAAAGAAAUUAGAAUAAUCUGAGGAGGAAUCAAAAUCCAAUCAUCAGACUCUUCUUUCCAACUCCCGCUUGCACUUCAAUUGAACGGUCUGAAAGCAC